rnacentral:rRNA from 1 species
UACGUAGGGCGCAAGCGUUGUCCGGAAUUAUUGGGCGUAAAGAGCUCGUAGGCGGCUUGUCACGUCGGAUGUGAAAGCCCGGGGCUUAACCCCGGGUCUGCAUUCGAUACGGGCAGGCUAGAGUUCGGUAGGGGAGAUCGGAAUUCCUGGUGUAGCGGUGAAAUGCGUAGAUAUCUGGAGGAAUACCGGUGGCGAAGGCGGCAUCCUGGACCAUUACUGACGCUGAGGCGCGAAAGCUAGGGGAGCAAACAGG